AGGCCUAUCUGGAGUAAAACCGCAGAAGUGGAGAUUGAAAGAUGGGAUCACAAGUUCCUUGCCCGACCCUUGGGUUCCCUCCCUGGCUCUGUUCACACUUAGGGGGUUUGCAAACACUCUCUUUGGGUGCUUGCACAGUUUGGAAUCCUUAACGUGGCUUCUUACAACAUUUUCCCUGCUUCCAAACUUCCCUCGUGCAGGAUUGAUGUUGUUCUGUUCUCAACCAUCCCCGGUAGUGCCUCAGUGGUGCUGAGCUCCAGGGAGGAACUGUUUGCCUUCCAUGGAAUCAUUAAGGUUGGAAAAGACCUUUAAGACCAUCAAGCCCAGCUGUCAACGCAGCACCACCGUGGUCACCACUAAUCCACAUCCCCACGGGCCACAUCCACAAGGUUCUUGAACAUUUCCAGGCAUGGGGUUGGACGUUGCGGAGGCAGCGGCGAGACCUGGGAGCUGCUGCAGCUGGGAUGGGAACUCCAAGCUCAGGUUGUUUGUGCCUCAGUUUCCCUGAGCUCUGCUCCUGAUCCACCCAAGGAAGAUCUGUGCUGACAGCUGGAUUACAGAAGUUCUGGUGAAGGAAUUGCCAAAAUAAAGCAGCUCAAAAAAAAUGUGUUUGUGCCUCAGUUUCCCUGAGCUUUGCUCCUGAUCCACCCUGGCUGCAAAAUCCAAGGAAGAUCUGUGCUGACAGUUGGAUUACAGAAGUUCUGGUGAAGGAAUUGCCAAAAUAAAGCAAAUCUCUCCCUUGCUGGCUGCA